UCCGCUAAAGGAAGGCUUUUACCCAGUCUAGAAAGCUGGGGGAAUAAGGAGAGGGCAAGUCUGGUGUCAGCCGCCGCGGUAAUACCAGCUCUCCGAGUGGUGUGGAUGUUUAUUGGGCCUAAAGCAUCCGUAGCUGGCUAAGUUAGUCCCCUGUUAAAUCCAACGAAUUAAUCGUUGGAUCGCGGGGGAUACUGCUUGGCUAGGGGACGAGAGAGGCAGACGGUAUUUCCGGGGUAGGGGUGAAAUCCUAUAAUCCCGGGAAGACCACCAGUGGCGAAGGCUGUCUGCUAGAACGCGCCCGACGGUGAGGGAUGAAAGCUGGGGGAGCGAACCGGAUUAGAUACCCGGGUAGUCCCAGCUGUAAACGAUGCAGGCUAGGUGUUUGGACGGCCACGUGCCGUUCUAGUGCCGCAGGGAAGCUGUUAAGCCUGCCGCCUGGGGAGUACGAUCGCAAGAUUGAAACUUA
rnacentral:rRNA from 1 species